AUACUUACCUGGGCGGGGUCAAUCGGUGAUGAGGAAGGCCGAUGGUCUAGAGAGAGCACCUUCAUUGCACAUAGAGAAGGGGGCUCUGUCUAUCAUCUCCCAUUGUGGAGAAUGAACGUCCUCUCUCGAUGGGAUUUGCCUUGGUGCUGACUAGCG